CUACGGGGGGCUGCAGUAAGGAAUAUUGCGCAAUGGAGGCAACUCUGACGCAGCCAUGCCGCGUGCAGGAAGAAGGCCUUAUGGGUCGUAAACUGCUUUUAUUUAGGAAUAAACCCCCGAACGUGUUCGGGGCUGAAGGUACUAAACGAAUAAGCACCGGCUAACUGCGUGCCAGCAGCCGCGGUAAUACGGAGGGUGCAAGCGUUAUCCGGAUUUAUUGGGUUUAAAGGGUGCGCAGGCGGGCUAUUAAGUCAGUGGUGAAAUCCCGGGGCUCAACUCCGGAACUGCCAUUGAUACUGAUAGUCUUGAGUUUGGUUGAAGUGGGCGGAAUGUAGCAUGUAGCGGUGAAAUGCAUAGAUAUGCUACAGAACACCAAUCGCGAAGGCAGCUCACUAAGCCAAAACUGACGCUCAUGCACGAAAGCGUGGGGAUCAAACAGGAUUAGAUACCCGUGUAGUC
rnacentral:rRNA from 1 species